rnacentral:rRNA from 1 species
UACGUAGGGCGCAAGCGUUAUCCGGAAUUAUUGGGCGUAAAGAGCUCGUAGGCGGUUUGUCGCGUCUGCCGUGAAAGUCCGGGGCUCAACUCCGGAUCUGCGGUGGGUACGGGCAGACUAGAGUGCAGUAGGGGAGACUGGAAUUCCUGGUGUAGCGGUGAAAUGCGCAGAUAUCAGGAGGAACACCGAUGGCGAAGGCAGGUCUAUGGGCUGUAACUGACGCUGAGGAGCGAAAGCAUGGGGAGCGAACAGG